rnacentral:rRNA from 1 species
CUACGGGCGGCUGCAGUUAGGGAUCUUUUGCAAUGCGCGCAAGCGUGACAAAGCGAACCAGAGUGUUUCUCGUUCAUGAGAAACUUUUGUCAGCUGUAAAAAAGCUGACGAAUAAGGACUGGGUAAGACUGGUGCCAGCCGCCGCGGUAAUACCAGCGGUCCAAGUCGCAGCCACAAUUAUUGGGUCUAAAACAUCCGUAGCUUGUUUUGUAAGUCUUUUGUGAAAUUCUAUCUCUUAAGGAUAGAGCGUGCAAGAGAUACUGCAGAGCUAGAGACCGGGAGACGCGAGAAGUACGGCCAAGGUAGUGGUAAAAUACGUUAAUCUUGGUUGGACUAACAAGAGCGAAGGCAUCUCGCGAUAACGGUUCUGACAGUGAGGGAUGAAAGCUAGGGGCGCAAAACGGAUUAGAUACCCUGGUAGUC